rnacentral:rRNA from 1 species
UGCCUCAGUACGGCGAGUGAGCGGCAAGAGCUCAAAUUUGAAAUCUGGCCCCUCCGGGGUCCGAGUUGUAAUUUGCAGAGGAUGCUUCGGGUGCGGCCCCUGUCUAAGUGCCCUGGAACGGGCCGUCAGAGAGGGUGAGAAUCCCGUCUUGGGCAGGGUGCCCGUGCCCGUGUGAACCCCCUUCGACGAGUCGAGUUGUUUUGGGAAUGCAGCUCUAAGUGGGUGGGUAAUUUUCUUCUAAGGAUAAAAUACCGGCCGGAAACCGAUAGCGCACAAGUAGAGUGAUCGAAAGAUGAAAAGCACUUUGAAAAGAGAGUUAAACAGCACGUGAAAUUGUUGAAAGGGAAGCGCUUGCGACCAGACUGGGCGGGCGGGGUUCAGCCAGCACUCGUGCUGGUGUACUUC